UAAGACCUAGCAUUCAAAUUGUGCUCUUUAAAGAUAUUUGAUAUAAUAUAUAAAUCUGACAGAAUGAGAAAGAGAGGCAGAGACAGACCGCCAGACUCUAGGCCGACCACGCACUCUCCUGGCCACCACGAGUCUGCAGCCAGAGAGUGGUAACAGCUGCAGCUGCCACAGAGCACUGGAGACAGACCGCCGGGCAUUCGGCUCAGCCAGGUCAGCCCAUCCCAUGUGUGUCUCUGUCUGGUAGCUGAAAACGGGGUCGUGUUGUUCCAGAUUCACCUCCCCGGGAUUGUUCUUGCAUCUCACAGCUCAACGAGAGAUGACAUCUCAGAUCACUUCAAUAAUCAAGGAGGUGUCAGUUGUCAGUCCCCUACCCACAGUGGUGUUAAAUGCUCCCCCAACCCUGGCAUAGGCAGCGCCACUGGAUGGCUCAGGAAUGGCAACAUGACAGCCGAAGAGCCUGGACCUAGCGGGGAUGCUCUUGCUGGACCACGGAGGGCGGGAAAUGCAGGUGCCCUGAACUGUGACAAAAUAUCCUGCUUAGUGCGUGACAUUUGCACGCCAAGUAUGAUCAACAUUCUACAGUUAUAAGGCCUAGAAGGAGAAUUAAGCUACAGAGAACUAAGGCCACUUUACUUCUGAAUGAGGGCAUCCACUCAGGAAAUUAACGUGCUUUAACAUCACAUCUUUAGUUAAUUCAUCUCAUCUUCCCUGAGUAUCUCCAUAUAGACAACCCCCCAAGACUCAUUGGUUGAGUGGCUGUAUAUAGGUCUAAGUAUCCAACCAGCAACAAGAUUGACUUGUGAUAAAGGAAAAGGAUUGGUGACUCUAGGCCUGAUCCAAGACUCAUUGAAGGCAAUGGUGGUGUUAGCGGUGGGGAAGGGGUGUGUCAUUCCACUGACUUCCAUGUGCACAAGAUCAGACCCUAUACGAACAACACUACAUGGGGUGUCAUUUCCUACAGUCUGAUCUUUACACUGCUUUGAAAGCUCCACAAUGUUUCACCAAAUCAUAAGGGCUAGAGAUGAAGACUCAUUAGAUGAUGGGUCCCAAGCUGUGUGACCCUGUUCCUGUGCAUAAUACAUUGUCUGGUACUUUAUGCAGUCUAAUUGUAAAAGUCACAGCUGAUGAGGCUUCUGUUACUUCCCUUGGGAGACUAUUUCACAGUAAAUUGACUGUUGGGAGGUUUUUCCAUGAUACUCAAAUUGAAUUUUCCGUUUCUUAAU